GUGCAAAUAGGACCUGGCCUGCAGAGGGGUGCAAAUAGGACCUGGCCUGCAGAGGGCCAUAGAGCUCGCCAGAUUGUAGCCCUAAAUAAACGGAAGUCGGUUAGGAAUCCAGAAGUAGAAAAUUCUAUCAGAUAUUAUUACAGGAAAUGUUACCUGUACAGCAGAGAUCCUCAGCUCACAGUGGACCUGUGCAUUAUUCCACUCUCCCACAGUAUGAAGGUACUGUGAACUUGUUGUUUAAACCAUUUUACCCGUUGAAUGUAGAAUCUGACAAGUGAGCUAAUAUUAGUAAUAGCAUUAUUAGAGUUUAUAAAUUGU